AAAGUCAAUUCUUACUUAAUUUACACAUGCAAGUUUCCGCACCCCUGUGAGAACGCCCUUAAACCCCUCAAAGGGACAAGGAGCUGGUAUCAGGCACAAAAUUUAGCCCAAGACACCUAGCCACGCCACACCCACAAGGGAAAUCAGCAGUGAUUAACAUUGAACAUAAGCGACAGCUUGAUUCAGCUAAAGUAAAAAGAGCCGGCUAAUCUGGUGCCAGCCGCCGCGGUUACACCACGUGGCUCAAUUGACCUUUUCCGGCGUAAAGCGUGAUUUAAGAAACAAAGUUCUGGUGUUAAAAAAGCACUAAGCUGUGACACGCUUGUGCCUAAGAAAACCAAAAACGAAAGUUACACCAAUUUAGAUCAACUUGA
rnacentral:rRNA from 1 species